rnacentral:misc_RNA from 1 species
UGUUUGCAUUGUUGGUGUUGCCCGUACUCCAAUGGGGGGCUUCCUUGGUUCUCUUUCCUCGUUGCCAGCCACAAAACUUGGAUCAAUAGCCAUUGAGGGUGCUCUUAAGAAAGCAAAUGUUGAUCCAUCACUAGUAGAAGAAGUCUUCUUUGGAAAUGUCCUCAGUGCAAACCUGGGACAGGCUCCUGCUAGGCAAGCUGCAUUGGGUGCAGGACUACCCAAUACGGUGGUUUGCACCACUGUGAACAAAGUUUGUGCAUCUGGAUUGAAAGCAACUAUGCUUGCAGCUCAAAGUAUUCAGUUGGGCAUCAAUGAGGUGGUUGUGGCUGGUGGAAUGGAAAG